rnacentral:lncRNA from 1 species
CAUUUGCAUGCAGGUGGAUAAUAGAUACAAACUUUGUUUGAAAUCCUAAUUCUUGAUAAAAGCCAAUGACUGUAAUGUUGGAGAACUGGGUCCUGUUUGUCGCACCUCAAAAAAAAUGAGAACACGACUUAGCAAAGAGAAGUCGCACGCUCGCAAUUAUGGAAUGAACAGAGUCGCCACCGAACUUUAUUUAUUCCUAAAAAGUAAAGGGAAAAUAUUGAUAAAGUCCAAAAAAGAACGACAAUGAUACUGGUCGUCGCAACCAAAUCAGGGUUCGGGAGUCGAUUAUGCAACGGGAAGGUAUUAACACCCCUCACGUCCAUUUUACUCAAUGGGAACCAUUAGGUUAAUUGUUUGCGUUAGUGUUAGUUUAUAAAUGUUAGGCUUCUCGAGUUAUUAAGGGAAAAAGAAGAAUAUGACUAAGAGAAAAGAGGAAAUAUUUUUGGAUUUUUGGCAACGAAGAGGACUAAACCUAAGUUUUUUUAUUAAUGGGACUGACAAGAUUUAUAAAUCCUACUCUUACGUAUUUCCGGGUGCAAUAGAGAACUCAAGGCUUACGUAGUUAUGGAUAGAAAAUGUUUGUUUGUUGGUCGAUUUUAGUGAAAACUACUUUGUGUCAAUCGACAAAAAUAUUGUUGGACUAUCCAAAACAGGUGGAGAAAGAGACGUUUGCAUCACAAACGAAUGGAUUUACAAAUCAACAUUCGUGGGCAACAUCGCAAGUUUACUCACACGUUCAAGCGAACGAAACAUUGUUUUGCAUCGUCAAUACAAAAUACCUUUCAUUUAUAAAAAGGAUUUAAGGAUCAAUCACAUAACAUCGAGACCUAAUUGAUUCCAAUGUGUUUUAGUUUAGGGACCUAAUUGAUAUAGAAAGCCAAAAAUGAAAUAUUCCCUUACUUGAAAGGACUUUCAACCAACAUGACAUAGAUAGAAUUCUCCAAAUCCAUUUUGGUAAUAUAGAGGAGGAUGUUGUUAUUAUGUUAACGGGUGAUAGUAAGGGGAAUCAUUCUGUCAAGACAUGGUCUCAUUGGUUCCAAAAUAUGGAGAAUAUGAACAAAAAUGAAAUUUCAAAUUAUAUUGAGCAAAGAUUUUGGAAGAAAUUCUAGAAAAUUAAAUGUCAACCAAAAAUCCAAGGUCUGAAUUCUUAACUUAACUAUUCCAGACAUAAGUGAUUUAGAUGAAAGAGGUGUUAGAUAUCCUAUAUUAUGUCUUAUAUGUCUCAAGCAUGAGGAGACUAUUGAUCACGUAUUAAAGGAAUUUUAUUGGAUUGCAAAAUUAUGUUUUGGAUUUGCGAGAACCUCAAGAGGGGAUGAUAUAAUGGUUAUGGGAUACUAUAAACAACAAAGAAAUGACAACCAACAACAUAUUAUAUUGCGUUUGGUGGGCUAGAAACAAAUACAUUUUUGAAGAAAAAGAGAUAACCAUAGAGAAAACUAAUAUAUAUAUAUAUAUAUAGUAUAUAUAUUAUUAUAUAUAUAUAUUGAUAUAUAUUAUAUAUAUAUAUAUAUAUAUAUAUAUAUAUUAAUCAUAUCAAUAUAGAUGAUGAGAUCGACCAAAGAAGUAAGGAUAUAGCCCAAUAUCAUGAAACAAUAGUUAUAUAAAUAAUCAUACUCAGUGUAGCUAUAAUCAGACCUCUAAAGACAAAAACAAGACUAAAAGCAAUCAUAAUGAGCACUCUAGGCAGGAAAAUAAUCAUACCAACCAUAAUCACACUCCUCAAUGGGACACGAUAAAUAAAAAAUACAAUCAUCAUCACAAGCAUGUGAAAGAGAAGGACAAUAAUCAGAAACGUAUGACAAAAGAGAAUAGAAAGGAAGACAUCAACCUGAAGAAAAAUUUAU